AGACCGGGACAUUUCCUGUUUACAGAAGACUAUAAAACCCUGCCCCAUACUCAUUUGGUGCUGGCGCCAUUUUAGGCCUUAGCCUGCCUGCACCCAGGCGCUCAUUAAAACAGCAGGUUGCUCCACACUGCCUCGUGUUGUCUGUUGGCACGCUUUCAGAGUUUGAAUGGAUACAAGAACCUUUCAUCUGGUGCCGAAACCCGGGAGGGGCUCCGGUCCUCGUCCCCCGUGGACCUACCCCUCCACCCCAGAAAGCAGGCCACAGCAGCUGGACAAAGGAAGCUCCUCAGCCUCCAGUUGCAUCUCUGUGCAUGCACAUCAGUCACUGAUCUCACCUACUGGCCCAGUCCCAAGGUGCAAGGCCACUUGUGCCAGCAGCGUGAGUCAGCAAGAUAGCAGAAGCAGGAAUAGAGCUAGCCAGAAGACACCUACUCUGGCUGGAAGACAUGUACCCCUGAAGAUUGAGAAAGAGGCCAUCCAGGAUGCCAGAAGAAAUGGGAAGACAUUAAGGUUUAUGCGCUAAUAUUUGAGUCCUUUCAUGGCAUUUACAUGGCAGAGCCAAAAGCAGAAGUUGACAACCAUCAGAAGCCAAAACAGCCCCACAAAAUACCUAGCCUUCAAGAGAGAAAUUGGACCACUCUAUGAAAAAUGUUGCUGGGAGUGAAGAUUGAAUGAGAAGAACAGAGAAACAAUGACAGAGUCCUUACAAACACCAUGAUACAAGAAGGCAAUGGGGAUAUGUUAUCCUACAGGAAUUCUAAAAGAAGUGAUCAAAAAGGUGAACAGAAAACCAGGUGGGAGUACUGUCACUGAGGAUGAGUUUCCAGAGAGAAUUAAUGCUGAAGAAGCUAUUGCAGACACUGCUGAGUAUGAAGAACUAAUUGGAGGAGGAAGCCAUUGUAUAGGAGAUGCAGAGCAGCAGCAAAAAUGGUAAUGAAAAUAGAAGAUAAAUUAGAAAAUUUGGAAAAACCCAAACAGAUCAGCCAUAUUGAAGGGAAAAAGAAAAACUAAACAAAGUGGGAGAGGGCAGAGAUGUAGAACGGUGUACAUUCUUUUAACCCCAAGAAUGAAUGUAGCCAAGAACACAGUGGGGACUUAGGAGUCUCAGCACAGAGCAUUCUCUACUCCCUACUGCUCGGGCAAAGGACUCCUUCAUGAUGCAGAACCAUAACUGGUGUAGAGUCUUAAAUGACCUGGUUAUCUCUAAGUGGAACAAAGUGCUUUCUGUGUAAAAGGAUUAACUUGAACCUGGGUGCUCAAGGGACACCCUAGGGUGCUUAUCCCACUGAUUCUGAUCUGACUGUGUUAAUAAAUCAUGUGGUUACAUAUUCA